rnacentral:rRNA from 1 species
GACGAACGCUGGCGGCGUGCUUAACACAUGCAAGUCGAACGAAGUGGCGAACGGGUGAGUAACGCGUAAUUAACCUGCCCUUCAGAGGGGGACAACAGUUGGAAACGACUGCUAAUACCGCAUACUGAAGGAGGGGAUUGCGUCUGAUUAGCUAGUUGGAGGGGUAACGGCCCACCAAGGCGAGGAUCAGUAGCCGGUCUGGGAGGAUGAACGGCCACAAUUGGACUGGGACACGGCCCAGACUCCUACGGGAGGCAGCAGUGGGGAAUCUUCCGGAAUGGACGAAAGGCUGACGGAGCAACGCCGCGGGGGUGAUGACGGCCUUCGGGUUGUAAAGCUCUUUUAGUCGGGACGCGGUACCGGAAUAGAAAGCCACGGCUAACUACGUGCCAGCAGCCGCGGUAAUUC